rnacentral:rRNA from 1 species
AUUGAACGCUGGCGGCAUGCUUUACACAUGCAAGUCGAACGGUAACAGGGAGCUUGCUCCGCCGACGAGUGGCGAACGGGUGAGUAAUAUAUCGGAACGUACCCAGAAGUGGGGGAUAACGUAGCGAAAGUUACGCUAAUACCGCAUACGAUCCACGGAUGAAAGUAGGGGACCUUAGGGCCUUAUGCUUUUGGAGCGGCCGAUAUCUGAUUAGCUAGUUGGUAGGGUAAAGGCCUACCAAGGCGACGAUCAGUAGCUGGUCUGAGAGGACGACCAGCCACACUGGAACUGAGACACGGUCCAGACUCCUACGGGAGGCAGCAGUGGGGAAUUUUGGACAAUGGGCGCAAGCCUGAUCCAGCAAUGCCGCGUGAGUGAAGAAGGCCUUCGGGUUGUAAAGCUCUUUUGUCAGGGAAGAAACGGUAGAGGCUAAUAUCCUUUGCUAAUGACGGUACCUGAAGAAUAAGCACCGGCUAACUACGUGCCAGCCGCCGCCGUAAUAC